AUUGAACGCUGGCGGCAGGCCUAACACAUGCAAGUCGAACGGUAACAGGAAACAGCUUGCUGUUUCGCUGACGAGUGGCGGACGGGUGAGUAAUGUCUGGGAACUGCCUGAUGGAGGGGGAUAACUACUGGAAACGGUAGCUAAUACCGCAUAACGUCGCAAGACCAAAGAGGGGGACCUUCGGGCCUCUUGCCAUCGGAUGUGCCCAGAUGGGAUUAGCUAGUAGGUGGGGUAACGGCUCACCUAGGCGACGAUCCCUAGCUGGUCUGAGAGGAUGACCAGCCACACUGGAACUGAGACACGGUCCAGACUCCUACGGGAGGCAGCAGUGGGGAAUAUUGCACAAUGGGCGCAAGCCUGAUGCAGCCAUGCCGCGUGUAUGAAGAAGGCCUUCGGGUUGUAAAGUACUUUCAGCGGGGAGGAAGGGAGUAAAGUUAAUACCUUUGCUCAUUGACGUUACCCGCAGAAGAAGCACCGGCUAACUCCGUG
rnacentral:rRNA from 1 species